CCAGACUCCUACGGGAGGCAGCAGUGGGGAAUAUUGCACAAUGGGGGAAACCCUGAUGCAGCGACGCCGCGUGAGCGAUGAAGUAUUUCGGUAUGUAAAGCUCUAUCAGCAGGGAAGAAGAUGACGGUACCUGACUAAGAAGCCCCGGCUAACUACGUGCCAGCAGCCGCGGUAAUACGUAGGGGGCAAGCGUUAUCCGGAUUUACUGGGUGUAAAGGGAGCGUAGACGGCGAUGCAAGCCAGAUGUGAAAGCCCGGGGCUCAACCAUGGGACUGCUUUGGAAACUGUUAAGCUAGAGUGCUGGAGAGGUAAGCGGAAUUCCUAGUGUAGCGGUGAAAUGCGUAGAUAUUAGGAAGAACACCAGUGGCGAAGGCGGCUUACUGGACAGUAACUGACGUUGAGGCUCGAAAGCGUGGGGAGCAAACAGGAUUAGAUACCCCCGUA
rnacentral:rRNA from 1 species